rfam:Coxiella endosymbiont of Amblyomma americanum, complete genome.
GGGGGUGCAUUAGGCUUCGACGUAGGUACUGCAAUCGGAAACGCAUGCCGAGCCGGCAACCUAGGCUCGUAAAUCUGUUGGUUGCAAAUUGUUAUCUGCAAACGAUACACAAUACGCUUUAGCUGCUUAAUAACGCAGCUUUCCAUGGUCGUGGUCUGGCUUGUAGGGUCUCGUCGUAUGGUUAUAAUUUACAAGCUCACCUUUCGAGGAUGGUUCUGUCUCCCGAAACGGUGAAAUUUUUGGCAGAACUUGUUGACUAACCGCUUUGCACGUCGAGUGGUUAGUACUAAUAAAAUUGUGACGAUGCUAAGCAUGUAGUUGUUGAAGAUUAGUUGAUUUACGGACGCGGGUUCGAAUCCCGCCACCUCCAA